AUUGAACGCUGGCGGCAGGCUUAACACAUGCAAGUCGAACGAGCGGCGGACGGGUGAGUAAUGUCUGGGAAACUGCCUGAUGGAGGGGGAUAACUACUCGAAAUGGUAGCUAAUACCGCAUACCAUCGGAUGUGCCCACAUGGGAUUAGCUAGUCGGUGGGGUAAUGGCUCACCUAGGCGACGAUCCCUAGCUGGUCUGAGAGGAUGACCAGCCACACUGGAACUGAGACACGGGCCAGACUCCUACGGGAGGCAGCAGUGGGGAAUAUUGGACAAUGGGGGCAAGCCUGAUGCAGCCAUGCCGCGUGUGUGAAGAAGGCCUUCGGGUUGUAAAGCACUUUCAGCGGGGAGGCGUUACUCGCAGAAGAAGCACCGGCUAACUCCGUGCCAGCAGCCGCGGUAAUUC
rnacentral:rRNA from 1 species